CGAUGUGAGGGCGAUCUGGCUGCGACAUCUGUCACCCCAUUGAUCGCCAGGGUUGAUUCGGCUGAAUGCCUGGCUAGGCGGGUGUCCCCUUUCUCCCUCACUGCUCCAUGUGCGUCUCUCCCGAAGCUGCACGAUCAGUUGAAGAGGACGACCUUCCCCGAUAGAGGAGGACUGUUCUUCGGUCAAGGGUAUACAAGUAGCUGCGCUCCCCUGCUAGAACCUCCAAACAAGCUCUCAAGUUGCCAAAACAGGUGUUGAUUCCAUAACUAUAACCAGCAAAAUUGACUGAACUACAUCUAAAGGGGGCACAUUCUGUUU
rnacentral:snRNA from 1 species